UACGGGAGGCAGCAGUAGGGAAUCUUCCACAAUGGACGAAAGUCUGAUGGAGCAACGCCGCGUGAACGAUGAAGGCUUUCGGGUCGUAAAGUUCUGUUGUAAGGGAAGAACAAGUGCCGCAGGCAAUGGCGGCACCUUGACGGUACCUUGCGAGAAAGCCACGGCUAACUACGUGCCAGCAGCCGCGGUAAUACGUAGGUGGCAAGCGUUGUCCGGAAUUAUUGGGCGUAAAGCGCGCGCAGGCGGCCUCUUAAGUCUGAUGUGAAAGCCCCCGGCUCAACCGGGGAGGGCCAUUGGAAACUGGGAGGCUUGAGUAUAGGAGAGAAGAGUGGAAUUCCACGUGUAGCGGUGAAAUGCGUAGAGAUGUGGAGGAACACCAGUGGCGAAGGCGACUCUUUGGCCUAUAACUGACGCUGAGGCGCGAAAGCGUGGGGAGCAAACAGGAUUAGAUACCCUGGUAGUCCACGCCGUAAACGAUGAGUGCUAGGUGUUGGAGGGUUUCCGCCCUUCAGUGCUGAAGCUAACGCAU
rnacentral:rRNA from 1 species